GACGAACCGUGCGAACGUUGUUCGGAUUCAUUGGGCGUAAAGGGUGCGUAGGUGGCGCGGUAAGUCGGGUGUGAAAUCUCGGAGCUUAACUCCGAAAUUGCAUUCGAUACUGCGUGCUUCGAGGACUGGAGAGGAGACUGGAAUUAGGUGUAGCAGUGAAAUGCGUAGAGAUCAUGAGGAAGACCAGUGGCGAAGGCGGGUCUCUGGACAGUUCCUGACACUGAGGCACGAAGGCCAGGGGAGCAAACGGG
rnacentral:rRNA from 1 species